AUGAGAUACGAAAGAUGUAAAAGUAGUUGUAUGAGUAGUUUGAUAGUGAUAUACUUUGUGCUCCUUUUUUUAGAUUCCCUACUCUCUUUUUUUGUGGUGAACAUUGUAUAACCCUUAUUGCAAUAUUUUUUGUUUCUUAAGACACUCUUGGAGUAACCUUCAAUUUCUUAGCCACACAAAGGAUUUGUUUUCCCUGCUGCCAAUUUCAUUUCAACGUUAACUGAAAAUAAAUCUCUUCACUAUCCACUGAAGUUGUAGUUUUCAGUUUUAUAGAUUUCAGCACAAAAUUCCUGCCAUGCUUAAAGAUAGUGGAAGUAUCUCUCAAACACCAAUAGCAAGUCUAGUGAAGAUACAUCAUCCAAGCUCGAAAACGGAACAUGUAGAGCAGGAUUUGCAAGGGAAAUUCAAAUUGAGGCCGCUAGGAAAAUGCAUGCAUAUGGCGAGAUGAUGGAAGAUGGAGAAGAGAUAUACGACUAUUAGAUCUAGUUUUAGAUUAUCAUGACUAUGUUACUUGUUGGAUGAUUUAGAUUUUGUAUUGAGCAUAAUAGUAUUUUUCAUUAGUUUAUCUAUGAAAAUAGCACAAAUAAGUGUAUAAAAUUAUAUCAUUAUUAUAAUAUAAUUGCCAAUUUAUUUAUCA